rnacentral:lncRNA from 1 species
GACAUUGUAUACAAUAAGAUCUACACUUGGCAAGUUUUGAACGUGUUUUUCUCCGUUCAGAAUGUUUGUCCUUCCAGUUGAGUUAUUUAUCUCUGUUUUGUGUGAUAUGAUUUUCUUCUUUCUGAAGAGGCAUUUUCGAUUUAUGUUGUUUUUGUAAUUUUUGGUCUUUUAUUUCAUUUUAUUGUUUUUGGUUUCAUUAUUUUAAAAUUUAGUUUUUGUUUUUCAAUUUUUUGUAACGAAAAUAUUCUUGUUUUAUGCUUUUAAUUGAUCUUUUUUAAUAAGUUUAUGCACGCGUGUUUACUAAAGAUAAUUUGGAUUUUAUAUAUGACAAAACAUGAAUCAGUCGAGUGGAGUUUGAGCGCUUUAUGUUUCUAUCCUCUUUGAGAAAUUGUAGAUGUUGAAGAUUACAGCUCUGUUCAGGGUGUUGGACGUGGGUCCAAUAAUGUAGAAAUGACUCAGCAGCUGAACAACGAAGAUUUUAAUGGCUCAUUUGUUCCGUCUAGAGAAAAACCACAGAAAAGGCGCACAAAAUUGUUUGUUGCAUGACAUGAAGUGUAGCCAUGUUACGAAAUGUGGAUGAGAAAAUGUAAACGUGUCGCAGUGAUUCUGGGGGAGACAUGACAUGUUAUCUUAGCCUAUGUUCAGAUUGUAUGUUAUUUGGUGUUAGUUGUUAUGAAAGCUGAAUUCCUGUUUUUCAACGUGCACUUUCACUCCUUUUCCUAAAUUAGAAAAAUAUAUGGAUUGCAACGAUGAUAUAAGUAAUUGCUAAUCUAUCAUUUCUCCUUUUUUUUUUUCGUUACUAUUACUGUAUCUUAUAUUUUUUUACUGAAUUUCAUUCAAGUCCACAUAUACACGUAAUUAUUGACUCAUAAACUAACGUUUUUACACAUAAUAUCUAUGCAGGUGUACUUAAAGUUGCUACUGGCAUUGUCCAAGACGACUCAUUCAAACACGAUCUGAUAACCAAACAUAUGUACAAGAGAUUUUACUAAUCAAUUAAAGUUUCAAUACAAUCAUCUUAAAAAAUGUGAUAUGGUUAUGUCGAAAAAGAUUGUGUUCUCAUUGCAGACAACAUCGCCAAAAAGUCUAUAAUUUUAGCAAACCAAUUAAAAGUUUUUGUCAUUUAACCGUGACAUUUUAUAUACCCUACCAUACAACUUAUUACUAUCCAUAUAAGCCAUGUAAAUAUAUACAAGCAACAAUUAAUAUUUAAUCUUUAAUGCAAGCCUUACACUAUCAACCAAGAUCAAUAGCACCUUCUUUUAUGGAUGUUGCAUUCAACCAAUUUACAGAGUUCAGAGCAUGGUAAGUAUAAGAUACCUAUCCAAUAUAGAAAAUCUUUUAUUGCAGUUUGUGCCAACAAUUUAUCAUCACCUUUCAUAUAAAACUCUAAUAUUGUUUUCUUCGUCCUAAUUCAUUGAUGUACAAGCCUUUGUUUCUUUCGCCUAGUAGUUAACUUUUUAAUUAUCUAAUCAUGUAAUUCAAGGAUCGAAACACUUAAUGAAAGACUGAAUGAAAUUGCACUGGAGAAACAAUAUCAUACAGUCACUCCAACUAAGUCAUCUCCUCCAAUCCAAAAAAAUUUAUACAAAUACAAAAUCUCAAAGACUGACUACUAGGGGCAACUUAUGUGUCUUAUAGUGCAAAUACUGUAUAUUUCUCCUAUCUUAUAUGAAUACAUUGCCUGUUAUUUCUUUAUCUUAACAUUGGAUUUUAGCAUAGCGUAGAUACUACCGGAUCAAAACUAAACCAACCAUCAAAGCAACAAAGCAAACUUCCUAGUACAUUUCUUGUGAUAAUUGCAAUAAAGUCACUCAUGCUGAUUUUGGUGAAACUUUUUCAUGUAUUUACUGCAAACAUCCUUCUGCAAAAGGCUGGACGUGGGUAACACUUAUUACAUUUCAUUCCAAUAUGUAACACUUAUACAAAUAACUAUUAACACUAUUCAUAUUUUCUUGCAUUUAAAUCUUACUUUUUUAAAGAACUCAAUCUCCAUUCCCAUAGGGCAAAUGCCGAUAUAUAAUUAGAGUAUGCAAGUGGAAUCUUAAAUGAAAGUGUAACAGGCGACCUUGCGGAGACACUGGUGAAGUAUAAUGAUGAGAGUUUGAUGACAUGUUCUAAAUCAGUAAGUACAAAUAUCAUGCCCCUCCAAUAACACUUUUAAUCCCAUGUGCAUUUAUAAUAACAUUUUUCCAUCCUUAUUUUCAAUUGGAAGUUGAUCAAAUCAUUGCUACAAAUCAAUCAAAUAGACUCUCGAGAAGAACACAUUUUUUACUUCAAAAUCAUACAACUGGAGAAAAACACUACUAAUACAGUAGAACAAGUGAUUGAGAAAGAAAAAGUUCCCUAUGCCUUGCUGCAGUAAACGAGAAUUCUUAGAUCCGGGAAGUGUCACUACCAUCUGCAAAAUGAGUGUUGUUCAGAACUUCAAGUGAGCCAGUACCUUCUAACAUACUAGUUGAAAAGAACAUUGCUAGCCCCAGCUCUCAAACUCAUCAAGUCACAACAAAAGGAAAGCUCGAGUAAUCAUCAUCAUAUGUGUUUGCAGACAACAUCAAUGCUACAACAAAAAAAAUUUGAUUUACCCAUUUUUCCAUCUCCAUCUAAAUAAUGAAACUGCAACCACCAACGAACGGCUUUGUUUUUUUUGUAUAAUUGAUUUCUAUGAAAACUACUUCCAUGAAGUUUAACCUUGGCAGAAAUGUACAAUAUGAACUAUCUUGAACCAAUAUAAUGAAUCAAUUCAAAGAGAAGAAAAAAGAAGAGAAGAAGAAUAGAGAGAGAAAAUAAUAAUCUAUUAAGCCACAAAAAUUAGGGUUUACAAUGAAUCAAAUAGUUUUUAUAUUACAAAGAAACCUAAAAUAAUAAGGAAACUAUGGUCUUGUUUGAGCCACAUUUUUUCAAUAAAAUACAUUCUUAAACAGUGAUUUGACAUCAUUUCAACUACACAUUCUUCAAUAAAAUAAUAUUACACGCAAAUUCAAAACUUUAUUUUUUAACCACAUAUUUCUCAUCAAUACACUAUAUAUAUAUAUAUAUAUAUAUAUAUAUAUAUAUAUAUAUAUAUAUAUAUAUAUAUAUAUAUAUAUAUAUAUAUAUAUAUAUAUAUAUAUAUAUAUAUAUUAUCAUCCUCCCUCAAACAAUGCUAAAGCAAGAAGCAAAAAAUUUUGUCAUACAAGAAGUGAAAAUGAUAUAUCGGAUGAGAAUUAGUCAAGAAAUUAGCAAGCUAUAAUGAUGAAGAAACAAAAGGUAGGAAAAUGGUGCUAGUCUGCUGAUGAUGACGAAUCAGAUGACAAUCAAUCUAAAUAUGCUUUGUGCAUUCAUAGAACACAGAAUUGUGAGAGAUCUGGAUAGCAUUAAUACUAUCAUAAGACAAAGGGGUUGGGAAAGAAUGAGGAACACCCAUGUUUGCAAGUAACCAUCGCAAUCACAAAAUCUUAGUGGUAGUAGAUGCCAUAGCUAGAUACUCUGCUCAGUAGAGGAACGAAAAACAAUAUUCUUCUUCUUACUUUUUCAAGAGAUAAGAAAAUUACACAAAAUAUUCAAAAACCAGUAGUAGAUUUGCAAGUAGUGGGGUCACUAGCCCAAUCAGCAUCAAAGUAGGCAUGUAGCACUAAUGAUGAGGUCGAUGGAAACAAAAGACCCUGAAAGCAUGUACCACAAAGAUAACACAAAAUACGAACAAUUGCUGCCCAAUGAACUGCAGUAGGAGCUGAAACAAAUGGACUAACAAUGUGAACAACAUAAGCAAUAUUGAGACGUGUGAUAGUAAGAUAAACUAGACGUCCCAACAAUAGUGCGAUACAAGGUGGGAUUAGUCAAGGGUCCAUCACUAGAAGAAAAAUAUCGAGUAUUGGACUCAAGAGGAGUAUCAAUAGUUUUAGUAUUACUAAGAUGGACACCUUCGAUAACUUCCGUAGUAUACUUAGACUGAGAGAGAAGAUAACCUCUAAAAGAAGAAGCAACUUCGAUCUCCAAAAAAUAAGAUAAUGUACCUAAGUCCUUCAUUUCAAAACGACGAGCCAAUUCUGAUUUCAAACCUGCAAUUUCAUCAAUUUUAUAACCAGUAAUAAUCAUAUCAUCAACAUAAAGUAAUAAUAGAAUGCCACCAGUUGAAGUGCAUUUAAAGAAUAUAGCAGAGUCAUGAUGAUUGGAUGUAAAAUCAAGAGAGGUAACAAUAGCGAAAAAAUUUCAAACCAAGCACGAGGUACUUGUUUGAUGCCAUAAGGUAUCUUUUUGAAGUUGCAAACAAAUCCAGAAGAUUGAGAAAGACUAGGAGGAGGAACGAUAUAAACCUCCUUUUGAAAAUUGUAUUUAAAAAGAUAUUUUUAACAUCCAAUUGAGAGAGACUCCACUGAUGAAUAGAUGCAACUGCAAUGAGUGUACAAUGAGUGGUCAUCUUGGUAUAGGAGCAAAAGUCUCCUUAUAAUCUAAACCAUAGUGUUGAUUAAAACCUUUAGGAACCAAUCUAGUCUUAUAACGCUCAACUGAACAGUCAGAUUUGGUUUUAAUCUUAUAAACCCAACAACAACCAAUAGCAUGUUUACCUAAAGGGAAUGCAACCAACUCUUAAGUGUCUGUCUUAGUCUAUACAAAUGAGGUCAGUUUUAGUCAUAUCAUGAUUAUUAUUAGAAAUAGAGAAGAAUGGAAUGUGCUCAAGAAGCACGACAUGAUGAGAAACAUAUAAUUUAUUAUUAAUGGGAUUGAAAACAACGAUAAUCCUUUUGUCCUUACCCAUAACACAAGAAAACACAGAUAGCAGAGCAAAAUGUCAACUUUGUACGUUCAACUUCAGGACGAAGAACAUAGUAAGUACAACCAAAGACUCUUAAUGAGGAGUGAUUCGAUGGAUGCCCAUACAAUGUUUCAAAGGAUGAUAAACUUGAAUUGUGGAAAGAUAGAAUCUUAUUAAUUAAAGAAACAAUAGUAAGAGCUGCUUCUUCUCAAAAUUCACAAGGAACUUUGGCUGACAAAAUAUGUGAACGAGUAGUUAUUGUAAUAUAACUAUGCUUUCAUUCAGCAACACCAUUUUGUUGUGGGUUAUUAGUACACGAUGUUUGAUGAAUUGUGCCGUCAAGAGCAAGCAUUUAAGAGAAAUCAGUUGAAGUAUACUCUCCACCUAAGUCACAUCUAAAACACAUAAUUACAGUAGAAUGUUGAGUUUUAAUAAGUACUCUAAAUGACCAAUAAAUAGAAAAAAAUUCAGAUCAUCGUUUCACAAGAUAAACCCAACAAUAACGAUUAUAAUUAUCAAUAAAGGACACUUAAUAUUGAGACACCCCUUUUCUAGCAAUAGGAGCAGAUCCCCAUACAUCAGAGUAAACAAGACCAAAUGGUGCAACAAAAUGAGAAAUACUUUGAGGAAAAGGCAAAACAUAUAAUUUUGCUAAUUUGCAGCCACUACAAUCAGAAAAUGUCAUGAGUUUGUAUAUUUACCAAUUGGCCCUUAGAAAAUAAAAAUUUUAAACGACUAGCUUGAAAAAUGUCUAAGGUGAGAAUGCUACAAAUAAAAACUAGAAAAUGAUGAAUUCAAAGGGAAACAUGACAAAUCAACACUAGAGGCUGCAAUGUGUGGUGGUUUAGGUUGUCCUGAACAUAUAACCCUCAUUGUCUACAGACUAUCCCAAUCAUCUUUUGAGAUUACGGAUCCUGCACGUGACAAAUAGUAGAAAAAACUAAAAUAAGUAUCCAGAAUCGCACAAUUGGCUAAUAGAGAUAAGAUUCAAAGUAAAAGUUUUGAACACAAUAGACAUCUAAAAGUGAUAAAUUAUAUGUAUUAGCAGAACCAACACAUGUUAAAGGUAAUAGUGUGCCAUCAGCAGUCAUAAUAGACAAAUACGUUAGAAAGACGCAAUCAUUAAAGAAUUUUGAGUUCGACGACAUGUGUUUGGAAGCACCUAAGUCAAAGAUCCAUAAAGAAGAAAUACCUGAAUAACCCUGAGAUGACAAACCUAUAUGAGUGGAGAUUGACAUAGCAUGUGACUGUGUGACUAAGAACUUCUGAAACUGCACUGCUAAGUCCGUCAACAUAGGAUUGGAGAAAGGUGGUGCUCCAAGUAUAGUUAAGUCACCUUUAUUCUGAUUCUAUGUGGACAGUGGAGAGGGUACAACCAACAUUGAGGUGCUAGAUGGAGGAAGAGAUACUUCUCCUGCAAGAGAUUUCAUAACGUAUUUCCUCAACUACAAGUUCAAUAACCACUGAAUCAACUGAGGGAAUUGGAGUGAGAUGCAAGAUAGGGCCUCUAAGUCCCUUAAAAUCAUUGCGAAGUGCUAUAAAAAACUGAACUAAUCAUUACUCAUCUUUAAAAGUAAUAUAUUCCUCAAGUGCUUUUAGUCCUACUAAUUCCGUAAGAGCCAACUCAUCCCAAAUUGAUUUCAUAGUGAUGUAAAACUUAAGAGUACUCAUAACGAUCUGAUGUAAAGCUCGUAUAUCAAUUUCCAACUAAUACCAUUUUGUAGAGUUAGACUUAGUGUAUAACUUUUGAAAGUGCUUCCAAACUUCCUUUGCUGUCUCAAACUUCACGUUGUUUGACUUCUAAUUAUCUAAAUCUGUUACAUAAUUCCGAGCAGUGUUUUUGGGUUUUACAAUAGUUCGACUAACAUAACCCCACAAUCUUUUUCUCUUUAGAAAAUUUCUCAUCACUAUACUCCAAUAUGAGUAACUUUUACCAUUUAUUUUAGCAUUAAUGGAUUGAAGUGAAUCAUCUCUUUCAGUUGUCAUCAUAAAAUCAAUAAAUGAUCAACUAAAAAUCAAUGAAAUCACCCAAUUUUUAGGGAAACCUAUGAUAACCAAUGGACCACCAAAAACUCCAAUUAAAAUAUAAUGCACAAUAUACGUAUAACAAAAGUAGUACCACCAAAAGUUAUGAAAUUUACCAAGGAACAAACGGCCAUUUGAAUCACCUCAAAAAACUCACACACGUGCCCAAACAACCGUCCAAUGCCAUGUGCCUGACCGGAAGCUUCGUCUCAGUCUGCAGAAUAAAGAUCGGGUCUCAAUUUUCUCAACCGAUCUCUGAUUUAGUCGGAAUCGUGAUUUUUGGUUACGGUCGAUUGGGUUUUUACACAAAUUUUUUUUGCUUGACUUCAGCCUUGAUUUCUAGUCCGUCCCAAUUAGAAAUUUCACAAUUUUCACUCAAUUAUAAGCUUUGAUACCAUGAUAACAAUAUGAACUAUCUUGAACCAAUAUAAUGAAUCAAUACAAGGAGAAGAGGAAGAAUAAAGAGCGAAAAUAAUAAUCUAUUAAGCCACAAAAAUUAGGGUUUACAAUGAACCAAAUAAUAUAUAUUACAAGGAAACCUAAAAUGAUAAGGAAGCUUUAAAAUAAUAAGGAAACUAAAUAUUAUGCUCUAUAUAUAUAUAGCAAUACUUUGCAUAAAAAUUCCUCCAUGAAGUCUAAAUCAACAGGAAUAUAUAAUUCCCUUCAUGAUAUUUUGUAGCUUGUAACUUAAGCUUUUAUUGAUUUAUAAAUUCAGACUUUUUAAAUGUAUAAAUCAUCCUUUGUUUACCCAUUACAGUCUUAUUUCAGACUUUGUCUUAUUAUCCCACGUCUUUCGAUACUAAAAUGAAUAAUUUUGUUUCUAUAUCUAUGCUAUUACUUAGUCAACUACUACAUGUCAACGUGUCCUCUUAAGGCAUUUUUUUAAGGAAUUUAUAAUGUAUAACGAGAAAAGAAUUAAAAUUCCAGAUGUCGCAAUAAUUAAGCUUUACUUUUCAGUAAAAUGGUUAAUUUAUUGAUAUAUUUAUCUAGCUUUAAUAUUUUCCAUUUCCCUUGCUGUAAACACAUCUUAUUUAGGAUUGAGACAAUUUAAGAACAGGAAGUUGAUGAUAAAGAAUAAAAGAAACUUGUGUAUCAAUUUAUUUUUUACAAGAAACAAUUACGAACACAUUCUUUAUGAAUAAAACCGUCAAAAGAGGACUUAAUUAUAGCAUAAUUUGCAAUCCCAAGAGUUCUUAUAGUUUUAAUCUUCAUUAUUUAUUGUCCUAUCAGCAUUUCCUACCAAGGUUCCAUGACUGGAUAUCCGAGUUUACAGAAUACAAGCUUUGUAACAUAAUUAGACCUGCCUCAGUUUAAGCCUUUAUAUAUUAAGCUUUAAGUACCUUGUCGAGAUAUAAUUACAGAAACUUAAAAAGGGGUCACUUCUAAGAGUGAUUUUAUCUUAAAUUUAGAAGAGUUAGAAGACUAUGACCUAAGUUAGACUAUUAAUAUUGUUAUAGAUCUAGUUAUAUUAGAGCAUGUUUUCUAGCAUUUUCUAGAUAUUCUCUAAAUGGGUAAUUGGCGCAAAACGUCCUUACCUUUCAAGGUUAUUGUGGAAACGUCCCUACCUUUCAUUUUUGGGCAUUUUUGCCUUUAUUUCAACCUUUCGUUGCGCUGAAGGUCUUUUUCACUGUUUUAGACCGUAAAAUGACCAAUAUAUCCUCAUAUUUAAAUAAAACAAUAAAGAAAAGAAAAGAAAAAUAAAGAACAAAUUAAAACAAUAUGCCCAAACUUUUUAAAAAGUGCAAAUCAGCCCAAAAAUCUUAUUAAACCAUUAAAAAUGAAAAAAAAAAAAAAUUCUCUCUCUCCUCUCCCCUUCACCUCUGAUGAUGAUUGAAAGCAAAUUAUUUAUGUUAUUCAAAAUAAGGAAAAAAUCAAACAAGUAUUACUGUAAUAUCAUAUGAAAUCAGUGGUAAUUAAUUGUGUCCAACUCCAUAAAUACAUAGCUCUAGCCACAUUCACGAAAGUCUCUAAAAUAUCCGAAUUAUAUCGCGUUUCAGAUUUUUCUAGGAUUUCGUCUCUUCCUCAACAAAGCUACAAGAAUUACUCUGGCUCAUCCCGAUCGGGACAGACUUUCUGCCUAGUAACCGCCCUGCAGACCCAAUUAAUUGCGAUUCCUCACCCAUUGUCAUCCUAGAGUCGCUACCUGGGAUUAAAUUGGCAAGCCCGGAGCCUUGAUUUCACAGAAUCAUUCUCCAAUGAUUCGUUUCCUGAUUUUUGGAACUAGAAUUUCUGAUCCUCGAAUGCUGUACGGUGACCCAAGUACUCCUUUAAUUCUUGCUCAAGAUUAAUAGGUCUGAAAAGGAAACUAAACAUAUUAAAUAUUGAUGUUUCUACCAUUACAAAGUAUGGAAUCAUAGCAUAGACUUGGAUAAUUCCAUUUUGAGAUAGUUGAAAAAACCCCUCUUUUCUAUGCGUGGACUUUCUCAAUGCAUAUUUCCAUAGACAAUGUUAUUUGAUCUUUAUGGAUGAUAAAUAUUUCUUAGCACAUGGAUUGUGAAUUCAAAAAAAAAAAAAAAAAAAAAAAACACACACACACACACACACAUAUAUACACACAUACAAAGCCACAAGAAUUAAUUUUUCCUUGAGCAUUGUUUAAAAUUGCAGAAAACUUAUGGAAUUGUUAUGUGUAUAAAUGAUUUUCAGAUUUUUGUGUUGUUUUUGCUGUUUGUAGGAAUUAUUGGAGUUGGACGUCAAUUGUGAUUUCUGGGGUUUAUUGGUUCAUAAAGUUUGAAAGUAUGGGUUUCUACGGAUUAUAGGAGGUGGAGGGGAGAGGAGAUAGUUUUUUUUUUUUUUAAUGGUUUAAUAAGAUUUUUGGACUGAUUUGCACUUUUAAAAAGUUUGGGCCUAUUGUUGCAAUUUGUUUUUUAUUUUUCUUUUCUUUUCUUUAUUGUUUUAUUUAAAUUGAGGGUAUAUUGGUCAGUUUAUGUUCCAAAACAGUGAAAAGGACUUUCAGCGCAACGAAAGGUUGAAAUACGAGCAAAAAUGCCAAAAAAUGAAAGGUAUGGACUUUUCCAUAAUAACCUCGAAAGAUAGGGACAUUUUACGCCAAUUACCCUUCUCUAAAUACAAGAUGAUUUUUAUUUUAAAAUUUAAAAAUAAACUUUUAGAGUAUUUCCAAGAAACUUUUUAUUUAUGAAGAGCAACUUUUGUAUAAUAUAAAGUGCAUCUAUAAAUUUAGUGGGUAAAUCCUUUUAUAAAAUAUAAUAAUGCUUUCUAUUUUGACACUUCAUUUUAUUUAACACAUUUUUGUAUUCGUCAAUGGCCAAUCAACUCAAAUAGAAUUUGUAUGAUUUAAGAAAUAAGUACUGAAAUCUAUAACUUAUUAAAUGCAAACAUUUUAAAAUAAGAAUUAGUAAGUGAUUUUGACUCUCUAUUUUAACUAAGAAUAGAAAGUCUCUUGAAACUUGUUUUUCACAUUGAUUCUCUAAAAUAGAGAAUAUUUUGUGUUUAGAUUGUAAAGAGCCUUUUAUUUCUUAUUUUCUAAUAAAUCCAUUUAAUAAUUCGCUCUCUCAGUUCUACAAAGAUAAACUUAUUUUUAUUUUCAUACAUAUUAAGAAAGUUUAAUUAAUAUAAUUAAAAAUAUAAAUUUCACUUACAUUUUUCCAAAUUCUAUAUUUAAUAAUAAUUAAAUAUGUUUAAAUAUGAGUAAUUCAUAUUUGUUGAUAACAAAACGCAUUAAAUAUUGACGUAUUAGAAAAUUAAGAAAUCAACUAUACUUUCAACAAGAAAAAUAAUCUAUAAUUUGAGACAAACAAAAAAUGAAAGCAAGUCUAUCUUUAUGGGAUGGAGUGAAUAUUUAAAUUUUGCUUAUUAAAUUAUUCAAAUUAUAUUUGAAUUGAUUAAUCAUUGAUAUAUGAAAAAAAUUGUUAAAUAAAAGAUAAUGAGAAAUUAAUAUAUGUAUUUUUAUUUUUCUAGGGAUGAGAAAUGAAUAUUCAAAAUAAAGAGCAAUACAAUAUAUGAAACGUUAUUCUCUCUAAUUAAAUAUGCUCUCUAUUAUAUACAAGAUACUCAAUAUAAAUACAAAGUCUCUUAAAAACACUUUAUAGACACCAUAAUAAAAUUAAUAAAAUGAUCAAAUUAUAUUUGGAACACAAAAUAUGACUUAUUUCGUAUUUAUUGUUAUUACAAAAGAUGCAUCUGAAGUCAAAGGAAUCUAUGACUUCAAAGUAUUGAAAACAACAUAUCUGAAUAUUAGGAUUCAUUUGUUAAUUGUCCAGAUCUCUACAUGAUAUACAUGAGACAAUUCACCUUGUAUAGGGGAAUUGCUUUUAAGCACCUUAUGAGUGCGGUGCUGGCAGCCCGUGUGGGAUUUUUUUUUUUUUUUAAUUACAAAUGAAAAAUAACCAAGUGGAAUUUUAUAAAAAAUUUGUGAAACUUUACCUGCACAGAUAACAUCACUCAAAUACAGAUGUAUGCAAAAAGUUGAGGUUGGUCACCUAUCCAUAUCAGAUUCUCUCCACUCAAACAGUUAUAAACUCACAAAUUUAAUAUUUUAAAACCUUUCUAGAAGCAGAUUAAUUCUUAAUUUCUUAGCAAAUUAAUCUUCCCAUAAUAUCACACGUGACUGCUGAGAUCAUUGUUUGGUAGACAGGUUUAGGUCAGUUCCGGGUGGGGCGGGGAGAGGGCGGGAGGGGGGGACAUAUUCAGCUUCUUUAUAAUUAAAAAUGAACGGUUGAAAAGACUGUCGGCCAAAAUCAUUGAAUACUGGUGCCUAGCACUAAUGAUGUUACAAUAUCAGUUUAGAUGAGAUGUGCAAUUAAGUGAUCAUUUAAUUGUACCUCUCACUUAAUAUUACAUUAGUGCCACUAAAAUUAGUGUUUUAAUAUUAGUGAUUUUAAAUAGCAUUACUCAAUGAAUAAUGCUUCUUAUACAUAAUGGAGUUACAUAAUAAUUUAUAUACAGAUGGGGUAUCAAAAAAAAAGUGAUGAAGUUUCUUUUUUUUUUUUUUUAAGAAGAAUUUUUGUCCAAUCAUAUUGUUGUCGAUUUUAUAUCCAGCAAGUGUACAAAUCGUAGCAAGUAUUAAAGUGAACCUAAGAGUCUGGGUGAUCGUUCGCACGAGGACUAUAAUUUAAUACUUAAAUUAAUUUUUCUAACUUCUGUUUGACCAAAAAAUAAAUUAUGAUUUGUGAUUGCUAUCUAAAUUAUUUUAAUUAAACUAAGUUAUCUAAUGUGCACAAUUUAUAAAAUUUUGAUUUUAAACAUAUAAAUGUGGAUGCUGUGACUUACAAUUCUCCUAUGAAUCUUCUUUAAUUCGCUAAUCAAAAUUCAUUAUUAUUGUAAUAUUCGAUCAAAUUUUUUAAAGUAUUCAAUUUACCUCUCUUGAGUUCCAAUUAAUUAUAUUUAAUUAAGUCAAUUCUAUAUCUCUAUGCGAAUCUAGACACACCCUAGUUAAACAACUUAAAUCUCUAAGAAUCCAUGUAAUGACUGCACUAACUAAAAAAAUGUAUCUCUCCACUUUUAUACUAGUUCAGUGAUUAUAUUUGGUCUGAGCCUAAGAUUCACAUCUCAACUUGUAUAGAUUCAUAGAAUUAUGGGAAAAUUGAAGUCGAGGUACCAAACCUUUCGUUUAUUAGCAGACUUUACCCAAACCUUUUAUUUGUGUCACCGGAGGUAUCAAACCUUUCAAAAAUGGACACCCGAAGUCCAAAUGGAUGGAAACCAUUAGUAAAUCCGUUAGUUGACAUAGAGUCAACAUUUUGAUCAAUUUUUGACUGCAUUAUAAAGGGUAAAAAUGUAACAUUAGGUUUUUAUAUUAAAGAAUUAAAAUAAUUAAAUUAAAAACCCAAAAAUAAAAUAAAAAGAAAAGAAUUUCAAAAACUUUUCUGCUAAUAAUACGCUUUGUGUCGUUACAGUCAAAAUUAUUGAUAUUGUCGACCAUAUUUGGGUCGUUAGGGUAGGUCGGAUUGUCUACCAUCAAAGGGGGUAGGUCAGAUGAGGAGGUUGGAGGUGCUAAAAUCCUAUUUGUUGUAUUUGCCUCACACUUAGUGAACUUACUGUAUUCACUACGAUAUAGAACUCUUGGCUCCUGUCCCGGAUGAGCGUGCCUAUUUUUCGAAGCCAGUAUGCAUUGCCAUCAGCAAGUUCUUUCUAAAGGAAGGGCUUCGAUUGCUUUUACAUCCAUUCUUUAGAACUGUUCUUAGGUUAUACAGACUGGCUCUCCCCCCCCCCCCACCCCAUUUCAUCCUUAACACUGGGCCUAACUAAUGCCUCUCCAUAUCUUUCAAACCAUUCUUCAACCUAGGUCUUUGACAAAAGGAGACUCUAAAGGUUGGUACUUUUUCUAUCCAUAGGGUCACAUUUCUCAUUUGUCAUAGGACUCCCCUUCUUCAUCAAAGGGUGAAAGGAGACGUGGUUCUGGGUAAGGCGAGAGUGGUAGGUGUGUAAGGGUAACACCAUUUCCCAUGUGAAAGUUCUUACCUCCUACUCGAAAGCUAGUGAGUGUUGUACCUUUUUAGUGAUUUGUUAAGAAGUUAGUUUAAUAUUGAUCUCGACCUCGUGUGUUUACCUUUUGUAGGAUCUAUCGAUCUUUGCGGAGCUGAGCUUAAGUUUAUAGGGGACAUCUACUAGCGUCCUACUUCUUCAAGGGAGUUUGAGAGGGUAAUCGUUUCCCACAUAGUUUAUCUAGGAGUUUUACUUGAUGGUUUGUAGAGGUACUUUUGCAUAUUAUUUGAGAUUUUCUUUUUGUUGGUUUAUACAGUUUUUGAUGUUCCUCACUUCUUUGUAGAAAACUUUGAAAAGAGGAGACAUCCCACUCCAAACAUAGGCACCAUCCCUGUAGCUAUCUCCACUGCUAGGAAAAAGGAUUAAAACCCUCAUCUGUUAUAGGGACCAGCUGAAGAGGGUCAACAGGGAGGCUGUUAGCCAAGAGGAUGAUGGAGGCCUCCCACUAAAGAAAAGGAAAAAGAUAAGGUCAAGGAGGUCUCCAAAAGGAAACAUAAAUAUUCUGCUAUCGGAGAGGAUGGGUACAUGGCUAGCCCAUCGCCCCGCUCAAAGGUCCCAGUAAGGGAAAAGUUGAUGGCGGCCUCAAUUGCUACAGCCAAGAGGGCUUAAAAGAGGUCAACUGUCGUGGAACACCCUAGGAAGGAUUCUUUAAAGAGGGCAAUGACAUCCAUUGGGUCCACUGCAUCAGAGAUAGGUCCUCACCCUCACCUCUCCAUUUCUCAAUGGAGUGACUAGCUAGCUCCGGCAGUUUUAUCGAUGCUUUCUCCAGAACUUUAAACUUUGACGUGCACAUUUCAUAAGUUUUGGACUGACCGUUGGUAGUCCUUCAUUGUGUCCAGUGAUGGGUAGACAUCUUCACCAAUAUGGUAAGCUAAACGAACAGGGCAUUUGGCAUAGCCAUAGAGGCGGAGAUCCUCUUUAAAAACCUUCAAAGUAAGAAUAAAGAACAAGCUAAUAAGACUUCCAAGGCCAAGGGGGCAACAAAUAAAGCUGUGGCUGAGGUGGAGGCUAUGAAGAAAUAGCAAUUUGGAUAGUCUAUAAAGCUUACCUCUACCUUAGAAGAAAUUGAAAACUUUAAAAAGGAAGUCCACUUUUGCCAAAGUGAAGUGGCUUCCAUGACGAGGUGGUGAAGACUUCUAAUGCUUACCAAAGGCUUGUUGCCGAGGCCCUGGAGGUGAUCAAUAAAGAGAAUGUUGCUCUAAAAGAGCAGGUAAGGAACUCUAAAGCGCUUGGCUCGAAGGAGGUGGAAACAGUAAGUAAGGGAGCUAAGUCUAUUGGUAGUGAGGUUAAAAAGCAUUCCGUUGACAACUUUUACAUAACAGAGGCAUACCAAAGUUUUGAGAAGUAUUGGCGAAAGUAUGCCCACAUCGAGGUGGUUUAGUUGGAUCGAAGCUAACUUUCAGACCUUCAAUACCUUUGACUUGAGGUUUGAAUACUUAGAGGGAAAAGAGCCUCAAACCCCACCAGAGGAAACUACAUGAUAAAAUUUGAAGACAAAGCUAAUGAAGAAGAUGAUGAAGUUGAAGAAGUCAUGGCUCUCGAUGCCAUAAUGCCUUUUGUACCUCCCCUCCUCUACCUAUGUAGAUUGGGUAGCUUGUAAUCAUUUUUUUUUAGGCUUGGAAGCCCACAUCUUACAAUAUUUUUGUUAAUUAAUGAAAGAUCCUCUUCAUUUAUUUUUUCGAGUUUAUUUACUGCAUUUUCAUGUAUGGACAUUUCAUUUUUGUACUUCCCCUAUUUUUUGUUUGCGAUUUGUACUUGUGCUAGUGUUCAUUUGCUUUUAUUCAUUUUUUUUAGCACGACGUCGAGCAAUUCGCCCAUGCUGAGUCUUCCUUAACAACUUUAGUUGUUAAAGGCAUGUGCUGUCCACUUCGUGAUUUAAGAGGUGGUCCAUUUUGGUGUCUAGCUUAUUGUUGAAGUACCCACACUUCUCUGCAUAAGGACAGUUUAUCCAUGCAGUCGUGUUUUUUCUUUAGCUUUGAAGACUUUAAUAAGAAAAAGCUUUCAUUUUCAACAAACCAUACAAUGUGUGUAUAAUUUUCAUUGAUAGUUCGUGGAUCUACGUUCCAUGGAUGAAGCUGUGUCUUUCCAUCUAUUCCUUCAAUUUCAUAGGUUUCUAGUUGAACCUCUUCCUUUAUAUGGUAAGGAUCUUCCCAGUUGGAACAAAGGAUUUCUAUUCCUAGCUUCUUAGUAGAUUGAAUACUGUUUUGACUUUUGAAUUGUAGUUCCUGGCCAUCUUUCUCUGAUAGAUUGCCAACUUCGCCUGAGAUUCAUUUCUCCUUUCUUCAAGGAAAUCCAAUUUGUACCUCCUCAACUCAUCAUUUGAUAUUUCAUUAAAAUAUAUGUGAUGAGGAGAUGAUAGACCCAUUUAGACUAGGCUCAUAGCCUAGGCACCAUAAGUUAUAAAGAAGUGAGCUUGCCUUGUGACUGUUCGGCUAUUGGUUUGGAUAGCCCAUAAGACUUGAGGUAGCUCAUCAGCCAAAGCCCCUUUAGAAGCAUCCAAAUUUCUCUUCAAAGUAUAUUUGAUAGUCUUAUUAACAGCUUCACCUAUCCGUUAGCCUGUGGGUAAUGUGGAAAAGAAAAGAGCUUCUUGAUUCUCAACUCCUCACAUAAGUUUCUGACCUUCUUGUUAUCGAACUGUUGCCUAUUAUCUGAAACAAUUGAAUGGAGAAUACUGAGUCAGCAUAUGAUGUUUUCCCACAAAAUUUUUGAAGUGUUUGCUUCAGUUAUUUUGGUCAUUGGUUUUGCCUUAACCUAUUUCAUGAAGUAAUCAAUAGCGACAAUUGUGAAAUUAGCACUGUCUCUCCCUUUCGUUAGAGGUCCAACAAGAUCAAUCCCCCACUUAGCAAAUGGUGACAAACUAGAAACAAUAGUGAGCCCUUGAGAAGGUUGUCUCUGUACCAUCGCAAAUCGUUAACACUUGUCGCACCUUCUUGCAGAUUAAUAGGUAUCCUUUUCAGGGUAGGCCAAUAACAUUCUUGCCUUAAUACUUUUUCUAGGGACCAUCCCCCAGUGUGAUUGCCACACACGCCUUUGUGUAUCUCUUGGAGUACCUAGGUGACUUUCUCACCUCUAUACAUUGGAACAGAGGCAAAGAAAAGCCUCAUUUGUAUAGUGCAAUGUCUUAGAAGACAAAAUGCGGGGCUCGUCUUCUGAGCUUCCUCUUUGUCAGAUUAUAGAGUUUGAUCCUUUAGAAAGGCUAUAAUUGACUUCAUUCAUGACAGGGUAUCUUCUACCCACAUCACCUCUUUAUCUUUGAAAGUAGAUGGCCUUGGCAGGUGUUCUAUAAGAACCACUACGAGCAUUUCAGAAUCCUUAUUUCUUGCUAACUUUAAGAGGGCAUCGACAUGAGAAUUUUCAGAAUGUGGGAUCUGUGUUAAAUUCAUAUUUCUCAAAUGUUGGGACGAACUCCAUGACUAAUUUCAAAUAGACAGCCAUGCUCUUAUCUUUAAUUGAAAAACUACCAUAAACCUGGCUAACCACCAAUUGGGAAUCGCUGUUGAUGACUAGCCUUUUCACUUGCAUCUCUUUGGCUAAUCUGAAGUCUACAAAGAGGGCUUCAUAUUCUGCUACAUUAUUGGUGGCCUUGAAGUUGAACCUCAUAGCAUAGUUGAGCUUAUGUCCUUCCAGACUGACAAGGACCAUCCCUGCUUCGAAUCAAAUGUCUUCUGAGGAGCCAUCAACAAAUAGGCUCCCUACAAGGGAUUCGGCUGGUUCCAUAUCGUCUUCCAUUUCUGGAUGAGGUGAAUUUUACCCUGAAGUUUGCUAACGCCUGUCCCUUAACAGUGGUUUUUAUUUUGAAGACAAUAUCAAACUCACUAAUCUCCACAGUCUAUUUGAGUAAUCUUUUCAAAGCAUCUGGCUUUUGUAGCACUUGCUUGAGAGGUAGGUAGUUAAUAUUUGUAUGGCGUGUACCUGAAAAUAUCGUCUUAACUUCUUGAAUCAGUUACAAGAGUUGAGCCUUUUUUUCCAUGUCGGGUAGUGAGUCUCUACUACGAGCAGUACUUUAGUUACAUAAUACACAGGUAGUUGAUGACCCUCUUCCUCCCUACAAGCAUUGAACCGAUAGCCUUGAUGAUCACCGUGAGACAUAAUAGCAGAUGCUAUCUAAAUUUAGGUUUGGAGAGGAGGAAAGCUUGUCCUAAGUGCUUGUAAGGCUUCUUCAUAUUCCUCCAUCCACUGGAAUCUAUUUUUUCCUUUCAAAACCUUAAAGGACAGAAGACACUUAUUAGUUGCUUUCUAGAUGAAGCAGCUCAGAGCUGCUACACAGUUGUGAGACUUUGUACUUUUUUAGGUUUUAGUGGUGAUCCCGUUUUCAAUCAAAGCUUUAAUCUUCUUCGAGUUAGCCUCGAUGCCUCUUUGAUUUACCAUGUAAACUAAAAACUUUCUUGAGGUAACUCCAAAGCACAUUUGAGAGGAUUCAACCGUAUUCUAUACCUUUGAAGUACUUGGAAGACAUCUUCGAAGUGCUUGACAUGAUCCUCUAUUCUCAGACUUUUUACCAGCAUAUUGUUAACAUAUACCUCCAUAGUCUUUCCAAUGACAUCGACAAGCAUCUUAUUGGUAUCCCCUGCAUUGUUUAACCCAAAUUCAUUAUUCUGUAGUAAUAUAGACCUCGGUCCAUGAUGAAGGAUGUAUGCUCCUUGUCUACUGGUGCAUUGAAAUAUGAGGCAUACAUAAAGUUUAGUAGCUCAUGCAUAGUAGUGGAGUCGACUAGCUAGUCUAUUCAUGGAAAUCGAAAGAUAUCUUUAGGACAAGCUUAGUUUAGGUUGGAGAAAUCUAUGCACACCCUCCAUUUCUCGUUGUGCUUCUUUAUGAGUACGAGGUUCGAUACCCAAUUCGGGUAAGUCAAUUCUUGAAUAAAGCAAUUGUCAAUCAACUUUUUUACCUUGUCUUUUAAGGCCUCAUAUCUUUCUAGGUUAAGAGUUGUUCUUUUUUGCCGAUGAGGGUUAGGAGUUGGAUCGAUCUUCAAAUGGUGCCAACUGACCCUUGGAUCGAUACCAACCAUGUCCUCAUGCUUCCAUGUGAAGACAUCCAAGUUGUUAUACAAGAAGCUUUUUAGCUUCUCAUUUUCUGUUGCUGGCAGGUUCUUUUUGACCUGUAAGGACUUGGAAGUAUCCUGAGAGUCUACUAUAAGGCUCUCCAGUUCCUCGAUCGGAGCUAUUUGUAGUUUGCAAUCAAUUAUGCUGGGAUCCAGUUCAUCAAGAUUAGCCGCUUCUUCAGCAGCUUUCCCUUCUUCAAGCUUUAAUUGUACGUCAAAUACAGUCUCUUCUUCAGAUGUAUCUAUUAAUUUAAUAUCAUUCUUUUAUUCAAGUUUUUGCCCUUAUUCAUGGUCGUCGUUUUCAUCAAUGUCCAUUAAAAUGACAUUAACAUCCCUAGGUUCAACUCUUCUAAUGGAGUUGGAAUAUCACUCCCUAGCACUUCGUUGGUCACCCUUAGGGCGAUACCAUUUUCUAUUGGGAACGUCAUGUAUAGAUAGUAAAUGGAAGUGACAGCCCAUAGUUACUUCAAAGUGGGCCUCAUCAAGUUUUUCGUGAUAAGCGGAGCGGUGGUCCACCACCACAAGCUCCAUGAAAUGGUGAGAUAUUAGAGGUAUAAUUCCCAUAUCUAUUGCUAGAAUAUUUUUGCUUGUGGGAUGAUGCUGUCUCCAGUAAAUCCAUAUAAGGGAGAGUUCAUCAGGGUUAACUCAUGGUCAACUUCCAUCUUAUUGAAUAUGGGUCCAAGUAUGAUGUUAUUAAGCUUCCGUUGUCCAUUAGCAUUCUUUUAAGACCAUUUUAGGCCACCAUAGCUCUUGCAACCAAAGCGUCAAAGUGCAGGUAAUGGACACCCAUGGCAUCAUCUUGAGUAAAUAGGAUGUGUUGAACUUCUCUUUCAGUAGAAGGUCGGCUACUGCUGUUUAUGAAGCUCGUCAUUGGGGAUUUUUAACUUCCCUGGCAUAAUUUCUUUGGGCAUUUCUAGACUCUUCUCCGAAAUAGGGACCUCUGAAAAUGGUAUCGAUUUCUCAAAUGGGCUCACGUCCAGUGUUUUUGAGGGGCUCAUUUUUUGCCUUCGACCUUCUACAGGCCUUUUCCUAUCAUUGUCUCACCUUUGCUGGAUGUCGUUCCUAUUUUGGUGCUUGCUCAUCAUUCCUAGGUUGCCGACCUUGCCUAUGAGUUACGCCCCUUUGUGAGCAAUUGUUUCUUCUCUGAUUGUUUAGGUCCUUAGCGAUUUCUUUACAUCCAGCAGUGUCGUAGCCGUAGGAAUGGUGAUACGUACAAUAGAGGGUUGUUUCAUCACUAUCUCUAGGUUCAGAGCCUUCUCCCUUGCCUUUUCCAAUUUGGAAGAACCGCUGGUAGGGCUCUUUGGUGUGUUUCCACAUCAAGGUUCAGUUAUUCGUAUGCUAGAAUUGGUAAUGCAUUUAAUGUUGUUGCAGCCAAAGCUUGUCUUGGGUUGAGGGGAGCUGACUGUCUGACUUGGUAGUCCAUCAAGUUAUAGGUGGGACCUCUUCCCUUUACAUUUGUGAAGGUGGAAGUCCUUAAUUUGCCCUAUUUCAGUAAUCUCUCAAUUCUCCAUUGAUGGUCUAGCGCCUUAUUAUUUCCAGUAAGGCAUUGUAGUUGGUAAAGUAGAGGGAGUUCAUAUCCAAUCCUAUCCUUAGUGCUGUUAACACUACCCUAUCUGUGACUUGCACGCAGUAGGUCACUUCGUUAGUGAAACGAGAUAAGAAAAUUUUCAAUGAUUUCCCUUAUUGUUGCCUCAUGUCUUAAAGGCUCUAUAUAGGUCCUUCGCCUUCUUUACUUAUGGCGAAGCAUUUGAAGAAACCCUUCUUAAAGUCUAGCCAACUCCAGAUGCUUCCUUUCGAAGGCCUGUGUACCAUACUUUAGCCGCACCACUGAAAGUUAAGUGGAAGGUUCUACACAUUAUUGCUGGGUGGCUCUUCUUAGGCUGAUAUGAGUUUUGAAGCUAUUGAGGUGCUUUGCAGGAUUCUACUUGAUUUCUUGCCUGUUCUGCUCUCAUCUCAUGCCUAUUUCUAGGUGGAGGAUUGAUGUUACCAUAAAUAGGCUCAGCUUGCCUUUCAAACCGAGGCUCCCGUUCUACCUAUUUUUAGGUGGAGGUUGAACCUGCCUAUUCCUAGGCAGUCUUGGGGUCAACAUAUCAAAGACAUUUACUAACCUUCUAGACGCGUCCUUCGGGUCGUAGUUUGAAGGAACAUUGAAAGGGACUUCGUGAACUUGAUCAUUGGCAUAGUUGGUAGACAUAUCAACCCCCACUUCCAUUUCUUGAGGGAGCUCCUCUCUGGGAUAUUGUGAUACCCUACCAUUUGGGUUUUGACCUCGUUCUCGUCACUAUAGUGAUUUCUUUGGAAAGACGCAUUUCCCUGAGCUACGUAUGGAGGAAUUGGAUACCAUUCUUGGGUUUGUACGUUACUCAACAGCUCCUGCGUAGCGAGGCUCUAUUGAGUAAUGUUUCUCAUAUUUCCGAUCAUGACGACCACUUUCUGGGUGAGUUUAGCAGCUAUCCUAGACAAUUCCAUUGGUUCAUCUCGCCUAUGUUAUUGGUGAAAUCUUUGGCGAGAUACUGGGGCAGUGUAAGAGGUUUCUUUUCUUCAGGAUAUUUCCUGGCUCUCCGAGGUGCUGAUUCCUCAUUGGUAAUACUCAUGAUAGUGUUUCCCGUUGUUUCAAAGCUAACCAAUUUUUCAAGGGAUGUAAAUGUUAAGUGAGAGUUCUUCUUGGUGAUUAUUUCUCUAAGAAUGCCUCAUUUUCUUCAGAGGCAAGAAAUCUCCUCGCACAAAAAUUGCUGACUUUUCUCUAGAGUACAUUCGUGGUUAACUGUAAGCUUCCAUAGACGACGCCAAUCUGUUGACUCUAUUUUCUAUAAUGGCCACGUGGACAACAGAUGUUGAGCUCAUUUGCGUCCAUGUGAGCAAAUUUCAGCAUGUUUGGAUAGGAUAUUCGGUCGGAGAGCUAGCGGCGAUAGACGUGGGAGAUACUCUACGACAGGAGACCAAAACAUUCGGGCACAGACCACACGAUCAAUGACGAUAGUUAAACAAAGAUCGAGUAUAGAUAACACCAAAGUACGAUGAAUCCAAACUUGAGCUAGCUAAUAUCAAAUGAGCAAAAAAGGAAUGUUAAGUGUAAUAUUAAGAAUAUAAAGUUUGUAUAUAUGUUUGCCAAUCCUUUACAAUGUUACAAAAGUUGCUAUUUAUAGAGUUCAAGCCUACGUGGUCACCAUUGGAUUAGAUCCACGUGGCUCCAUCUAAUUAACCGAAGUCUCACAUCACUCUAUCAUAUAUUAAUUACAUUGAUAAGAGGUCAGCAGUCCUACACUCCUAGGCUAACAUAUUUGACACUCAUUAGUACAAAUGUUACAUUAAUCAUUCCUAAAAAUACUCAUCAAACCUGCUUCAAAGGCAGUGAGGACUUCAAAUUUAAGAUGGAGAGCUUCGGAUGUAAAGAGGUUCGGCUUUAGGAAAAAUCACCUCGACAAAAGAACUCUGGGUGGAAAAAGUGCUUCAGCUAUAGAGCAACUCUUCCCCUUUUUUUUUUUUUUUUUUUUUUUUUUUUUUUUUCCCCGGUUUCUGUAUGUAGUGCUUCCAUGUGGCUUUUCAUUGGGAGCUUUAUAUAUUAAGAGUAACAGGUCUUAUUCAUUUAUUAUUAUUUUGAGCAGAUAUAUACUUAAUUUAGGUUAAAUUUGGUUAAUUGUAGGUAAAACCCGAUUUGGACAAGUUUGGACGAAAUAGGAUUGAAGCGGUACAAAAUUGAGGAAUUGUGGAUCAGAAUAAUCAAGUUUUGAAGAUAAGGACCUAUCGUGUGAAUAAAGAGGACCUGGGCGUACAAUAACUUAAUGCAGAGGACCAAAGUGCACUCAAUUAUCAAAAAUUUCAGCUUUUGUUGGAUUUCUAUUUCAACUCAACAAUGAAUAUGCUUUAGGAUUCAUUUUGAGAGUUAUUCUAGAUUUCUAUAAAUAGUUUUCAUUAUUCCUUUUUAUGGGACAUACAAUUUUAAAGUCAGAAAAAUAAAAAAAUCAUCAAAAUCCUGGAACAAAAAGCAAGGGUUUGAAAACUUUUGAGAUUGAAGAAG